GGCCUAUUGAAAAUAAUUUUAGGUCUGACCUGCCCAAUGAUUAAUAUUUAAUGGCCGCGGUAAUUUGACCGUGCAAAGGUAGCAUAAUCAUUAGUUUUUUAAUUGAAAGCUUGUAUGAAGGGUUUGAUGAAAAAAUAGCUGUCUCUGUCAAAAUUUAUUAGAAAUUUAUUUUUAAGUAAAAAAGCUUAAAUUUUUAUAGAAGACGAGAAGACCCUAUAGAGUUUUAUAUUAUAUUAAAUGAAUGAGGUUUUAGAAUUAUCUAUUUUAUUUAAUGUUUUAUUUAGUUGGGGUGAUUAAAAAAUUAAAUCAACUUUUUUUUUAUAUUAACAUUUAUUUAUGAAUGAUUGAUCCUUUCUUAAAGAUUAAAAGAUAAAAUUACCUUAGGGAUAACAGCGUAAUUUUUUUUUAGAGUUCUAAUCGAAAAAAAAGAUUGCGACCUCGAUGUUGGAUUAAAAGAAAUUAUUGGUGUAGGAGCUAAUAAAUUAGGUCUGUUCGACCUUUAAAAUUUUACAUGAUCUGAGUUUAAACCGGUGUAAG
rnacentral:rRNA from 1 species